UACGGAGGGUGCAAGCGUUGUUCGGAAUUAUUGGGCGUAAAGCGCGUGUAGGCGGUCUUUUAAGUCUGAUGUGAAAGCCCCGGGCUCAACCUGGGAAGUGCAUUGGAAACUGGGAGACUUGAGUACGGGAGAGGGUAGUGGAAUUCCCAGUGUAGGAGUGAAAUCCGUAGAUAUUGGGAGGAACACCGGUGGCGAAGGCGGCUACCUGGACCGAUACUGACGCUGAGACGCGAAAGCGUGGGGAGCAAACAGG
rnacentral:rRNA from 1 species